rnacentral:rRNA from 1 species
UUGGGUUUAAAGUGCGCGUAGGCGGCGUUUUAAGUCGGGGGUGAAAGCCUGUGGCUCAACCACAGAAUGGCCUUCGAUACUGGGACGCUUGAGUAUGGUAGAGGUUGGUGGAACUGCGAGUGUAGAGGUGAAAUUCGUAGAUAUUCGCAAGAACACCGGUGGCGAAGGCGGCCAACUGGACCAUUACUGACGCUGAGGCGCGAAAGCGUGGGGAGCAAACAGGAUUAGAUA